UGGGGAAUAUUGCACAAUGGGCGCAAGCCUGAUGCAGCCAUGCCGCGUGUGUGAAGAAGGCCUUCGGGUUGUAAAGCACUUUCAGCGAGGAGGAAGGUGGUGAGCUUAAUACGCUCAUCAAUUGACGUUACUCGCAGAAGAAGCACCGGCUAACUCCGUGCCAGCAGCCGCGGUAAUACGGAGGGUGCAAGCGUUAAUCGGAAUUACUGGGCGUAAAGCGCACGCAGGCGGUUUGUUAAGUCAGAUGUGAAAAUCCCCGGGCUCAACCUGGGAACUGCAUUUGAAACUGGCAAGCUAGAGUCUCGUAGAGGGGGGUAGAAUUCCAGGUGUAGCGGUGAAAUGCGUAGAGAUCUGGAGGAAUACCGGUGGCGAAGGCGGCCCCCUGGACGAAGACUGACGCUCAGGUGCGAAAGCGUGGGGCAGCAAACAGGAUUAGAUACCCUGGUAGUCCACGCUGUAAAACGAUGUCGAUUUUGGAGGUUGUGCCCCUUGAGGCGUGGCUUCCGGAGCUAACGCGUUAAAUCGACCGCCUGGGGAGUACGGCCGCAAGGUUAAAACUUAAAGGAAUUGACGGGGUCUAGCUG
rnacentral:rRNA from 1 species